GGUCCCCAAGCUAAGACAGAAAGUAGGUGUGUUGUUAGUUAUAGGCUGUGUCAGGAAAGCCUCCUCCUUUUCAGGAUAACUCAGGAAAAAAAAUUAGAGAGAACUGCUACAGAACCACCAAGGACUCCAAGUUAAACCCUAUCUUUCAUCUAAAGCAAGUAUGGGAGAACCAUUAACAUGGCCCAUCAUUAGGUGAUUGGGAUACAAGACUUCCAAAGCCCCCCUGGCUAAGGUGACUAUGGGGAUGAUGUCAGUGCUUUGCUCAGUCAGACCCCUCAGGACCCUUUUAACUAUUUUUGGAGGUCUGGGGGUUGGAGAAAAGGAGGUCAGCUUUAAAGGGCUUUUACUUCCAUCAGGUUGUAACUUAGACUUACUUCCAAAGCACUGCUCUGGAAUCAGUGAAGGUGAUUUUUCAGGAGAGCAGGAAGUGCCUGGGAGUUUAGUUCCCCCUUAACCUGUGACAGGUGUGUGUGGGACAACAAAAGCCCCAGUUCCCUUGCUUGCUUCCUUGCACAUGAAGCCCCAUUUUAGGGUCUACUUCUAGGCAUCAAAGCCUAAGUACAUGAGGAUAAAAGUCUCAAGGCCAAAGAAACACUCGAUAGGAUCAUGUGGGGUAAACAGCAUCUGAAGUCAGACUUCCUGAUUAUUUGUCCAGACCUCACAGCCUUAUGGUUGUGUGAGCUUGAACAAGUCACUUCUGUGACCCUUGGUUUCUUCAUCUGUAGAAUGGGAAUCAUCAUAACACCCGCCUCACCCACCUAUCACACAGGGUUGCUGUGAGAAACAAAUGACAAUGUGAACAUAGGGCACUUGCAAAUGUAAGCAGUUAUACAAACAUCCAGUAUUACUUAGGUGCUAUCAGAAGCAUUCAUGUUGACCCCAACCACCUGAGAUAGCUAUGCUUAGUUUAUCUGAUUCUUCAUCACCACAAACCUGAGGUCAGAUUUCAAUAUCAAUCAAAUAGAGAAAAGAGGUUGAAAUCCCCAGUGGACAUUUCAUUCCAUUAGCUCUGCUAAAUAAUUCUACAGUAGAGUCAGACAGACACAGAGCUGGAGUUUGCUGCGUGUGGUCAGAGUUCCUGGUAGUGAAUGUUUGCUGGCCCAGGCCUUUGUGUAUUGUUCUGAAUCCCCAGUUGCCUCAGUCCAGGGGCAGGCAAGCCUGUCCUCCAUCUUGUCUACCAGGCUAAAUAAACAUCACGAAGAGUGGAGAACCAUCAUGCUGUGGACAGGGUCUCAUCCUCCUGACCCAGCCUGCACCAGGAGCAGCCUCUGUUUCCUGCCCCUGAUUUUAUCCACUAGUAAGAUCUGAUGCUAUGUUCUGGCCUUACCUCAUCCUGCUUGCCUCAUCUUGCUGCAAACACAUUGCUCUGCAUCUUUGAAGGAACCAGAAAUCUGACACGGUCCUAGUAACCUUAAUAAUGAUCAUAAUUUCCAUUUCUUGAGUCCUCUGACACCUUUCCAUACAUGUGUUACUUCACUUAAAGUACCCUUCACAUCUGUGAAGGAAGCACUAUUUGCACCAUUUUGGAAUGAGGAAAGUAAGAUUUAUCUGUUUGUUUAGAGAGACAGCACAAGUGAGGGAGGGGCGGAGAGAGACAGAAUCCCAAGCAGGCUCCACGCUGUCAGCGUAGAGCCCAAUGCGGGGCUGGAUCCCAAGCCCCAUGAACUGUGAGAUCAUGACCCAAGCCAAAAUCAAGAGUCGGGUGCUUAACAGACUAAGCUGCCAUGGUGCUCCGGAAAGCAAGUUUUAAAGACGUCAAGUAACUUGCCCAAGGUCACACAUAUCAGAACCAGGACUCAACCUCACAGCAGAACUCAGGACUCUGGUUCACUACAGUAACCGCCCUCCUUCCAGCCCCACACCACCCCCAUCCCUGGCUCUGAUAAGAGUAAACUCCACAAAGCAGGGAUUUGUGGUUCCCUCAUCUCUGUGAUUCGGUUGGAUGAAUGUCCAGAUCUGACAGGGCUCAUCCCCAGCCAGAGGGCUGCUUCCCCUUUCUCUCUCCAUCUUCUCAGCACAAAGUCACACUUGGUGGGCUUCCUUGGCCCCUGUGAGUGCCCUUGCUUCUGGGACCAGUUUCCUCUCUGUUCUAACAUCAGUGACCUUAGGAAACCCCAAAGUGCUCCCUACAGGAAAAUGUCCACUUAUAGAUCCUCAGGCCAUUACUGUCACCCACUGCCCUCCCUGGAGACACCUCUGAGCCCUUUAAGCACUCCAGGAAUUGUUUACCUAGUCAAGGGGAUAAUUUUGGCAUUAACCUUCAGUCAAUGAACAAAACAGAACUCUAGACAAUGAGGUCUUCUUAUAAAUUUGCCUGAUUCUCUUUUGUUCCAGGUUCAGAAAUAUUCUCCCACUGAAAAGUCUCUGGAGUAUAAAAUUCUGUCUCUCCCUCUCCAUCUUCAUUGUAUGAGAUGCCCAGAAAAUCCCACUGUUGCAAAUGGAACUAACUAGAAGCACAGGUGAAAUACUUCAAUCCCUCACUUUUCUUUUGAGGCCUUAGGGAUUCACCUUCUGGGCUGGAGCCAGAGCUGGUUUGAGUCAUCAAGGGAGCCAAACAUACCUCCAGAGAUCCUGGGGAAACUUUCUGCAGAAAAGAUCCAAAAAAGGAGAAUCUAAACUCUAUUACCUGUGAAUCUAUUUUUUGUUUUUGCCUUCCCCCCCCCCCCCCACCUAAUUCAUUUAAAAAUGUCUUGCAUCAGGUGAGACUUUUACAUACAGAAACAGAUAUUUUUAAACGAGCGGGCCUGAAUGUGUACCUAUGAAUCUCUCUCCUCUUCAACAGAGGACGAUAGUCUUAGGAAAAAGGUGCAGCCAUUGUUCAAACCUUUUCUGGCCCUCUUUUCUUGAAAUUGCAUUUGGAGUCUGCAACACAUCCUCUUGAAUAUUUUCUCUUGUGAUUUUUUUUUUAAUGCUCUUGACUUUAAGAAAAGUAGCUAAAGUCAAUUUAAACCAGGUUUAGUGAUUAAACUGAGAAAUAUCAUUUGGGGCUAAAAAUGAUCUGUGAGUAUAAAAUAAGGAGGAAGAAGGUCUUUUGUUGUCCUUAAGGUGGUUCUGACAGUAAUGAUUUUCUUCUGAGGCACAGGAAAGCUUUUCAGGGGAGGCACCCUCACCUUGGUAAAAAGGCAAUUCGAGAUCAGGCUGUGGCUAGCUACUAAAGAGCUUUCUUUCUUCUCUGUUCCCGCUUUACAAUACUGCCCCUUUUUGAUCUUUGCCCAGUGUUUAUCCUUCACAUUUUCAUUUAAUGAGAAUGACAACUGUCUGAACCCCAAGGGGAAUUGGUGAAGAAUUUAAAUCCUUCCUUGCAUGUAUGUCCUCUACAUAAAGUUACCAUGGUUUCUGGAUUCCAUCAGAAGUCUCUCAUUUUCCCCUUCAACAUCGAUUGCUUACUCCCUUCUGGAAGUGUCCACACUGGAAUUCAGCCUCACUGUUUGAAGUUCUGUGUUGCUAAGAGAUGCUGUUUUGCAGUAAACCCAAGUGUGAACACACACUAAGUAAGGCCUUUCUGUACCUCUGCAAAUAUCCACUUGUGCUUAUUAUGCCCAGGGCAAGGAGGACAUUCUUUUCAUUUGUUUCAAGAGCUAGGUGGCCACCAAUGGCGGCUGGUCAAAAUAUAAGACGGGAAGAAGCAGCUUGUUCAGGGUUGAGCUUGCUACUGUAUUUGCUAGUGCACCACAUCUGGUUUUCUUCCAAGACAAUAAAAAUAAUAAUAAUUUCUCCCUCUCUCAGGAAGGAAAUGCGAUUUUUAAAGGAUAACAAGUAAUGAAGCUGAAUGGCGUCUCUAGUCACCUAUCUUAAGCCUCCUUUUCUGGGAGAGGAAACUGAGGCCCCAGAGAAAUGGAAUCCUUUGACUUAAAUCAGUUCAUCACAGGUCAGCCUGGGACUAGAGCUCAGUUUUUCCGACUCCCCGUAAUACAUCCUUGGUGCUGCCUCCCUGGGAACUGAAAUUGUGUAGAAUAUCUUAUGAUCGAUAAUAAUACCAUUGACAUACAAUCAACAGGGCAUUUUUCCCUUUAGCAGAAAUGAUGGAUUUAUACCAAUGAUUCUCCUCCUUCAUCACUCUGUAAACAAAUAACUUAUAUGUAUUAAAAUAGGCUCUCUCUGAGUUCCUCCAGAGACUUCAAGCUCUUUGAAGACCCAAGGGUGCAUCCUUCAUAUCCUGUGCUUAGUAGGGACUCAGUAAAUGGUGAGUGGAUGGAUGGAUAACACAAGGCGAAACCACCUCACCCACAAGAGACUGCAUGGACUCCCCCAUUAGGCCAAUGAAUUUAAACAGCCACAGGCAGAAGUAAGUACUACCAUGUUUACCUCUGUUAUUUUGAUGGAGAUGGCUUAUUUUAAGAAUAUCAAUGCAAUAAAGUAAAUCAAAAUCCAAAAUAAAAUGUCACUCAUCCGAAGUUUCACUGUAUCUCCACAUUUUUAAGUAUAUGAGUCCCGGAAAGAAUGACUGUUCUUCUGAAAACGCUAGGCUCUUUCAUGAAUUCUGCCUUGCUUGAAAUUUCUGCCUUUUUCAAAAUUUCUGUCUUUUUCAAUCAACUUCUGACCUCACUCUGAUUCUAGGAAGAGCUGACUUAUGUCCCCAGGGAAUCAUUUCACAAAUAUCUGAGAGCUGCACACAAACGAGGCAACAAAUAGACCAGGCUCCCAUGACUCAGCACUAAUUUAAAGCCACACAGGUUGGUGGUUUGUUUGGGGGUUUGUCAGGGGGCCCAGGGCUUCUGUGGAGAAGGAAACUCCUCUUUCUUUCUGGCAACAUAAUUAAAAUUCUAGACCUACACAAAGUGAAAGAGCUUUGCAAAGCUGAAAACAGUGCAAAUGUUCCUUAUUAUAUUAGUACUAUUCUUGUACUAAUGUACUCACAGAUCUGAUGACUAAAUGUCAGGAGAAGUGAGUAUUCCUGGAAGGUGGUGUUUUUUUCAGAAGGGCUUGAGGGUCACCCAUUGGGAGGGGUGGGCAUUGGACAUUCCUUUGAGGCAGCCUGGGGGAAUUAAACCUCAGGAUCUGGGCUUCUUACAUCACCGGAAUCUUACACAGAUGGCUCCUCCUUUCUCUUGAUACCUUUGGGCAUUACAUGUUUUUUUUGGUUUUUUUUUUAAUGUUUUAUUCAUUUUUUGGGAGACAGAGUAUGAGUUGGGGAGGGGCAGAGAGAGAGGGAGACACAGAAUCUGAAGGAGGCUCCAGGCUCUGAGCUGUCAGCACAGAGGUGGACAUAGGGCUCGAACUCACGAACCACAAGAUCAUGACCUGAGCCAAAGGCGGACGCUUAAUGCCCUGAGCCACCCAGGCUCCCCUUACAUGUUUCUAAUGCUUAAACCAUGUGGUUGUUAGAUGGUGUUUGUAAAUAGAAUAAAAGAUUUCUACUGCUUUUGUGACUGCUACCAAGGACAUUUUAUGUAUCUUGAGGGGGGAAAAAACCUUUUCAUAAAAUGUUGUUUGAACCAGGCAACUGAAGAUAGGACUCACUCCUUACUCAGGCCCACAUCCCUCCUUUGUGAUUGCCUAUGACUGACUGUAAGUAUUGAUUCUAGUGCUGACUUCUUGUUUUCUAGACUUAUAGGUGGAAAUUGUGCAAUUAAUUCAAAUUGAAUACACUUUAUUAGCUGGUGAUGGCAAACGUUAUUAGGUGGUCAUGCUUUUCACGGGAUUGCUGGGAUUACUUUUAUAGCAAGAGAAAUGAGGUUGCUGCCAAAGAUAUCAUAUGGUGGGAAUGUCCACAGACAUAUUUUUGUUUACAUGACACUGUGGAAAACCCUAAAACAAUGAGAGGUAAGGCUAUCCUGCACAGCCUUUUAGACUUUCUUUGGAAUUUGUAGAUACUGAAAUUAUAAACUUAAAUUAUGUUCAUUUACCUGGGGAGAAGACCCACAUCUUUAUCAGGCUUUCAAAUGGGGCCCAGACUUCUGGAAAGAUUAAGAGUUCCUGAAGUAGAGACAUUUUUAACACUGCUUGACUAAGGUGUGCCAUUAAAAACCAAACUGAAACAAAACAAAACAACCCCACAAAAAAACAGCACUUUGCUACAAAAUUUUAAGCAUGCAUGUUUUCUUUUUUUUUUUUUCAACGUUUAUUUAUUUUUAGGACAGAGAGAGACAGAGCAUGAACGGGGGAGGGGCAGAGAGAGAGGGAGACACAGAAUCGGAAACAGGCUCCAGGCUCCGAGCCAUCAGCCCAGAGCCUGACGCGGGGCUCGAACUCACGGACCGCGAGAUCGUGACCUGGCUGAAGUCGGACGCUUAACCGACUGCGCCACCCAGGCGCCCCAAGCA